CUGACAGUGGAAAAGAACUAACUGUCUGGUUGGAAACAAGAUGUUCAAGGCCUGACCAGGAAAAUAGCUGAUUUUUUUUAAAAAAGGUAACACAGAAGGAAAAAAAUGGUAGGCUGGUGUUAAGAAAAGGAAGUGGUGGAAGAGCAGGAAUGGUCAACCUCUGUAUUUUCAGAGGAGCAUGUGUCACUCUGUUCUCCAGACUGUGAGCAAAGAUCCAGAAAUGUAUCAUAUCUUGCCAUACAAACUAAGUCCCUCACAGGCUCUACAAUAAAAAAGGAACAUAAAUGCCACCAUCCUCACUGUGUGAACAUUCUGGAGGAUUUUAACAAACUUGCCUGACUCACCAUCUCAUGGAGCACGCUCAACACAACAUUGAAAAUAACUGGAAAGAGAAUGAUCUGAAGGCACAAAACACAGUUCAGCUCCUGAAGCUAAGGAAGUCUGAAGCUAAGGAAGAACAAGAAUUGAUGGGAGACCACCUAAGAACCUCAGAACUACAGCAAGGCACCCUGAUGAGCAGCUCUAGGGAGAAGCUAAUGUUCCACAAUUGCAGACUGCAGAGCACAACGUGCUCCAAGUGUCACACCAGGAGGCCUUCCUUUUGAAAAAGGUUUCUCUCGGAGCACGUCUCUGCCCACUAAUCUCAGGCCUAGAGAACUUCAUAUGAGAGCCUGGCAUUCAAACAGAAGGGAUGAGUUCAAAUUCAGACAACUGAUCAAGCUCUGAAUGGAAUUAUUAGUGGAUGAAGAACUGAUAUCAGCAAGCUAAUGUUGGAUCUUUCCAGUUUUCAAGGUGAUCCCAUAUAUAGUGAGUUUGCUUGGUUUACAGCACUGUGGCUGGCAUUUGACGCUGAAACGUCUGUUUUUAUUAUGCUUUUAACAAUGUUUUUACAAGUUUUAUCAUAUUUUUUACACAAUAAAUUUGAAGGUCUUAAAGAAAUACAUAUAGUUGUGAGGUGGCACAGAGAAAUAAGACAAAUACAGUUUAUUUUGUCAGUUUCUGUGGCUCAGUAAAAAAGAGGAUGGAUUAUUCUUUUGCUUUAUAAUUACAUUUUAUGGUGAUGUGUGUUUCUCUUGCUAUUUGUAUUUAGAAAAUAAAAACUUUAUAUUAUAAAAGGAUCAAACCACCA